rnacentral:rRNA from 1 species
AACGAACACUGGCGGCAGGCCUAACACAUGCAAGUCGAGCGAGGACUUCGGUCCUAGCGGCGGACGGGUGAGUAACGCGUGGGAACGUGCCCUUUGCUUCGGAAUAGCCCUGGGAAACUGGGAGUAAUACCGAAUGUGCCCUUCGGGGGAAAGAUUUAUCGGCAAAGGAUCGGCCCGCGUUGGAUUAGGUAGUUGGUGGGGUAACGGCCUACCAAGCCGACGAUCCAUAGCUGGUUUGGGAGGAUGAUCAGCCACACUGGGACUGAGACACGGCCCAGACUCCUACGGGAGGCAGCAGUGGGGAAUCUUAGACAAUGGGCGCAAGCCUGAUCUAGCCAUGCCGCGUGAGCGAUGAAGGCCUUAGGGUUGUAAAGCUCUUUCAGCGAGGAAGAUAAUGACUGUACUCGCAGAAGAAGCCCCGGCUAACUCCGUGCCAGCCGCCGCGGUAACAC